CGGGCUUGAAUUGCAGAGGAAGGAUUUAGAGAUAAUGACGCCCUUCGGGGUCUCUGUGAAGGUGCUGCAUGGUU
rnacentral:rRNA from 1 species